rnacentral:piRNA from 1 species
UAGUGCAAACUGGGAAGCAGGUGUCA